UUUCACAAACUGAACGCAGGAUGCGGAAACAUUAGUAAGGGAAAAAUUCUCCAUUUAAACGCUCGUGGGUCAACUUGCUUCCGGCGUCUGUUUUAAAACCGAUGUUACCGGUUCCGUUGCAUUGAUCUGGGGAAUUGACACCCCCGUCCCUUUGUUCAGAGCUCCCCGCGCCUCGCCUGUUCUGUAAAUGUAGGUAUGAAUGAAAUGACGUCACAGCCGGGCGCGCGCUUGGGGAAGCAGCGGGGCGCGAGGCGGUCAAGAGGGCUGCUGCCUGCUCGCGGGCUGUUGCACCGGCCAUGUGCUCACGCAGGCUUUCAGGAUCUUCGGCGGUACAGAAAUCUCUGCUGCAAAGGAAAUGUUCAAAAUGUUCCCUUACUGUGCGGGACAGAAUCUGUGUUUAAGUGCCACUGACUACCUGAGGACAUCCUGAGUAUUCACUCAAGCAGCUGCCAGAAGACUCCUAACAGACUAGCACAGCAACCCCUCUGGAACUAAUGAAAUGCACAUGAUGCAGUCUCAAAGGAAAUGACUGGACUUGGAUUAAUCUUUGACUGACACAGUCCGACAGGCCACGGGGGUUGGCCUAACCAUGAGGACACCCCAGGCAGGAAGGGUGUGGACCAAUAGGAUCAUUCUCUCUCAUGGUGCAUGGAAGAAAAUAUCUAAAGAGGAAGGAGGAUUAUAUGGAAUCCUGAACUAAGCAUUCACUGAGGUGCAAGAAGUAGCAUUUGAAGUUCAGUAGACAUUAGGGCUCUCAUAAGGGAAGAUUCUGGAUGUCUUCUAAAGAUGUUACUAAAUUUCAUGGAUACACUGUUUUGCUCUGAAAGUUCGAGUUUGUCACAGGAAUCCUCACUUGGGACAAAACUAGUUAUUUGUUUUCCUUACCAUGCUUAUAAAAUGUGGCAGCAAUAUCAUUAAAAUUGAUACACCACU